CGUACAACUCUGAACGGUGAU
rnacentral:rRNA from 1 species